GAUGAACGCUGGCGGCGUGCCUAAUACAUGCGAGUCGAGCGAACAGACGAGGAGCUUGCUCCUCUGACGUUAGCGGCGGACGGGUGAGUAACACGUGGAUAACCUACCUAUAAGACUGGGAUAACUUCGGGAAACCGGAGCUAAUACCAGAUAAUAUAUUGAACCGCAUGGUUCAAUAGUGAAAGACGGUUUUGCUGUCACUUAUAGAUGGAUCCGCGCCGCAUUAGCUAGUUGGUAAGGUAACGGCUUACCAAGGCAACGAUGCGUAGCCGACCUGAGAGGGUGAUCGGCCACACUGGAACUGAGACACGGUCCAGACUCCUACGGGAGGCAGCAGUAGGGAAUCUUCCGCAAUGGGCGAAAGCCUGACGGAGCGACGCCGCGUGAGUGAUGAAGGUCUUCGGAUCGUAAAACUCUGUUAUUAGGGAAGAACAAAUGUGUAAGUAACUAUGCACGUCUUGACGGUACCUAAUCAGAAAGCCACGGCUAACUACGUG
rnacentral:rRNA from 1 species